UUUUUUAAGCUACAAAGGGCUUACGGUGGAUGCCUUGGCACUAAGAAGCGAUGAAGGACGUGGUAAGCUGCGAUAAGCUUCGGGGAGUGGCACACACACUUUGAUCCGGAGAUGUCCGAAUGAGGAAACUCACCAUUUAUGGUAUCUUUCACUGAAUACAUAGGUGUAAGAAGCGAACGAGGGGAAGUGAAACAUCUCAGUACCCUCAGGAAGAGAAAUCAAAUCCGAGAUUACCCUAGUAGUGGCGAGCGAACGGGUAACAGCCUAAACCUUGUUCAUUAAUUUGAAUAAGGGGUCGUGGGACCGCAAUGUGGGACCGGAGAAGUUAGAAGAACAGUCUGGAAAGUCUGGCGAAACAGGGUGAUAGCCCCGUAAUUGAAAACUUCAAUGGCCCUAGCGGCAUCCCGAGUACCACGAGACACGUGAAAUCUCGUGGGAAUCCAGGAGGACCACCUCCUAAGGCUAAAUAUUCCUUAGUGACCGAUAGAGGACAAGUACCGUGAGGGAAAGGUGAAAAGAACCCCGAGAGGGGAGUGAAAUAGAACCUGAAACCGUAAGUCUACAAGCAGUUAGAGCCCUUUAUAUGGGCGAUAGCGUACCUUUUGCAUAAUGAGUCAGCGAGUUAUGUUUGCAUGCGAGGUUAAGCCGUUGCAGGUGGAGCCGUAGCGAAAGCGAGUCUGAAUAGGGCGAUUUAGUAUGCAGGCAUAGACCCGAAACCCGGUGAUCUAAUCAUGGACAGGUUGAAGCGAGGGUAACACCUCGUGGAGGACCGAACAAGUUGAGGUUGAAAACUCUUUUGAUGAUCUGUGAUUAGGGGUGAAAGGCCAAUCAAACUGGGUGAUAGCUGGUUCUCCCCGAAAUAUAUUUAGGUAUAGCGUUGAGUAAAAAGUAUCGUGGAGGUAGAGCACUGAAUGGGCUAGGGGUCUUUACCGGAUUACCAAACCCAAAUAAACUCCGAAUGCCACAGAUAUGUUCCUCAGCAGGCAGACUCAGGGUGAUAAGGUCAUGAGUCGAGAGGGAAAGAGCCCAGACCAACAGCUAAGGUCCCUAAAUGCACGCUCAGUGGAGAACGUUGUGGAGUUACUUUGACAACUAGGAGGUUGGCUUAGAAGCAGCAAUCCUUUAAAGAAAGCGUAAUAGCUCACUAGUCUAGUGACUCUGCGCGGAAGAUACAACGGGGCUAAGCGUGUUACCGAAGCUUUGGAUUAAGAUAUUUUAUAUUUUAGUGGUAGGGGAGCGUUCUAGUGUAGGAUGAAGGUUGACCGGUAGGACAGCUGGACGAACUAGAAGUGAUCAUGCUGACAUAAGUAGCGUUGAACUCGGGUGAAAAACCCGGGCGCCGAAAACUCAAGGAUUCCUGGGCAAGGAUAAUCCUCCCAGGGUUAGUCGAGUCCUAAGACGAGGCCAAAUGGCGUAGUCGAUGGCAAAACGGUUAAUAUUCCGUUACCUAGCUAAGUGUGUUUAAGGAAUGACGGUGUAGGAUAUCACAGCCUCUUAUUGGAUUGAGGUGUAAGCAUGUAGGAGGAUCAGUAGGCAAAUCCGCUGGUCGUAACUCUGAGGUGUGAAUGCGAGGGACUUUGUCCCGGAAGUGUGAAAAGCCAUGCAUCCAAGAAAAGUUUCGUAAAUUUAGCUUAGUUAGCUCGUACCGUAAACCGACUCAGGUGAGUGGGGUGAAUAUCCUAAGGCGAUGGGGUGAAUUUUGGUUAAGGAACUCGGCAACUUAACACCGUAACUUCGGGAAAAGGUGUGCCUGAGAGAGUGUAAGGACUUGCUCCCCAAGCUUUUUCAGGUCGCAGAGAAAUGGGAGUAGCGACUGUUUAUCAAAAACACAGGUAUGUGCAAAGUCACAAGACGACGUAUACAUACUGACGCCUGCCCGGUGCUGGAAGGUUAAAAGGAUUAGUUAGCGUAAGCGAAGCUGAGAAUUGAAGCCCCAGUAAACGGCGGCCGUAACUAUAACGGUCCUAAGGUAGCGAAAUUCCUUGUCGGGUAAGUUCCGACCUGCACGAAUGGCGUAACGACUUCUCCGGUGUCUCAACCAAAUGCCUCGCGAAAUUGAAUUCUCGGUGAAAAUGCCGAGUACCCGCAGAAAGACGGAAAGACCCCGUGAACCUUUACUGUAGCUUGGCAGUGAUUUUAGAGUUGGCAUGUGUAGGAUAGGUGGGAGACUUUGAAGCCAGGGCGCUAGCUCUGGUGGAGUCAACCUUGAAAUACCACCCUUGGCAACUUUGAAAUCUAACCUGCUCCUCGAAACGAGGAGAGGGACACUGUCUGGUGGGCAGUUUGACUGGGGCGGUCGCCUCCCAAAAAGUAACGGAGGCGCGCGAUGGUCCCCUCAGCCUGAUUGGAAACCAGGCGUCGAGUGCAUUGGCAUAAGGGGGCUUGACUGCGAGACCUACAAGUCGAGCAGGUGCGAAAGCAGGCCAAAGUGAUCCGGUGGUCCCGCGUGGAAGGGCCAUCGCUCAACGGAUAAAAGGUACUCCGGGGAUAACAGGCUUAUUCCAUCCAAGAGUCCAUAUCGACGAUGGAGUUUGGCACCUCGAUGUCGGCUCAUCACAUCCUGGGGCUGGAGCAGGUCCCAAGGGUUUAGCUGUUCGCUAAUUAAAGUGGUACGCGAGCUGGGUUCAGAACGUCGUGAGACAGUUUGGUCCUUAUCUUCUGUGGGCGUAUGAGAUUUGAGCAGACCUGUCCUUAGUACGAGAGGACCGGGAUGGACGAACCUCUGGUGUUCCUGUUGUCGCGCCAGCGGCAAUGCAGGGUAGCUAUGUUCGGAAUUGAUAACCGCUGAAAGCAUCUAAGCGGGAAGCAAACUGCGAGAUUAGAUCUCACUGGGGCUUCGGCCCCCUAAAGACUCCUUGGAGACUACGAGGUUGAUAGGCGGAAGGUGUAAGCGCUGUGAGGCGUUCAGCUGAUCCGUACUAAUAGGUCGUGAGGCUUUUUUAAAUUUU
rnacentral:rRNA from 1 species